GAUGAACGCUGGCGGCGUGCCUAAUACAUGCAAGUCGAGCGAAUGAUGAGGAGCUUGCUCCUCUGAUUUAGCGGCGGACGGGUGAGUAACACGUGGGUAACCUGCCUGUAAGAUGGAGAUAACUCCGGGAAACCGGGGCUAAUACCGAAUAAUAAAAGAAGAAGCAUUUCUUCUUUUUGAAAGUUGGUUUCGGCUAACACUUACAGAUGGGCCCGCGGCGCAUUAGCUAGUUGGUGAGGUAACGGCUCACCAAGGCGACGAUGCGUAGCCGACCGGGGAGGGUGAUCGGCCACGCUGGGACUGGGGAACGGCCCAGACUCCUACGGGAGGCAGAAGUAGGGAAUCUUCGGCAAUGGGCGGAAGCCUGACCGAGCAACGCCGCGUGAGCGAGGAAGGCCUUCGGGUCGUAAAGCUCUGUUGUCAGGGAAGAACAAGUACGAGAGUAACUGCUCGUACCUUGACGGUACCUGACCUAUCCCUGGAGGAAGCACGGGCUAAGUUCGUGCCAGCCGCCGCAGUAACAC
rnacentral:rRNA from 1 species